rnacentral:rRNA from 1 species
AGAGUUUGAUCCUGGCUCAGGACGAACGCUGGCGGCGUGCUUAACACAUGCAAGUCGAGCGGUAAGGCCUUUCGGGGUACACGAGCGGCGAACGGGUGAGUAACACGUGGGUGAUCUGCCCUGCACUUCGGGAUAAGCCUGGGAAACUGGGUCUAAUACCGGAUAUGACCUCAGGUUGCAUGACUUGGGGUGGAAAGAUUUAUCGGUGCAGGAUGGGCCCGCGGCCUAUCAGCUUGUUGGUGGGGUAAUGGCCUACCAAGGCGACGACGGGUAGCCGACCUGAGAGGGUGACCGGCCACACUGGGACUGAGACACGGCCCAGACUCCUACGGGAGGCAGCAGUGGGGAAUAUUGCACAAUGGGCGAAAGCCUGAUGCAGCGACGCCGCGUGAGGGAUGACGGCCUUCGGGUUGUAAACCUCUUUCAGCAGGGACGAAGCGCAAGUGACGGUACCUGCAGAAGAAGCACCGGCUAACUACGUG